AUUUUGAUGAAAUUUGGAGUAAUUAACUUGACUCCUAAUUUAGUUUGACAUUAAUUUUAUUUAUUUUGUUAUCUUAAAUAUUUGCACACUAAUAAUUUAGUAGAAAGUUAAGGACUCUAAUCAUAAAUUUCCAUCUUAUUGUACCAACUUUCUUGCAAA